AUUGAACGCUGGCGGCAGGCCUAACACAUGCAAGUCGAGCGGAUGAAGGGAGCUUUCUCCUGGAUUCAGCGGCGGACGGGUGAGUAAUGCCUAGGAAUCUGCCUGGUAGUGGGGGAUAACGUCCGGAAACGGGCGCUAAUACCGCAUACGUCCUGAGGGAGAAAGUGGGGGAUCUUCGGACCUCACGCUAUCAGCUGAGCCUAGGUCGGAUUAGCUAGUUGGUGGGGUAAAGGCCUACCAAGGCGACGAUCCGUAACUGGUCUGAGAGGAUGAUCAGUCACACUGGAACUGAGACACGGUCCAGACUCCUACGGGAGGCAGCAGUGGGGAAUAUUGGACAAUGGGCGAAAGCCUGACCCAGCCAUGCCGCGUGUGUGAAGAAGGUCUUCGGAUUGUAAAGCACUUUAAGUUGGGAGGAAGGGAAGUAAGUUAAUACAUUGCUGUUUUGACGGUACCAACAGAAUAAGCACCGGCUAACUUCGUG
rnacentral:rRNA from 1 species